UACGGAGGAUGCGAGCGCUAUCCGGAUUUAUUGGGUUUAAAGGGUGCGUAGGCGGAGUCUUAAGCGUGAGGUGAAAUGCCACUGCUCAACAGUGGAACUGCCUCGCGAACUGGGGUUCUGGAAUGCCCCUGCCGUGGGAGGAAUGUGUGGUGCAGCGGUGAAAUGCAUAGAGAUCACACAGAACACCGAUUGCGAAGGCAUCUCACGAAGGGGUGAUUGACGCUGAGACACGAAAGCGUGGGGAGCAAAC
rnacentral:rRNA from 1 species